GAAAAAAUCAUCUAUUACAUUUCUUAUUAAUUCCCUCCAUAAUAUUUUACAUUAGUCGGCCAAAACAAAAUAUUUUUCUCUUUCUUCAUAGAAAAUAUCAAAAACCCAAUGCCAUUUCUCAUGUCAAUCCAAACUUCGAUUUUUCUUUCGAGAAGCAGAGAACCAAGCAUCGAAAACCCAAUACCAAACCCAUUUCUUAGAUUAAUCACGACAUUGAAAACCCAUUUCUCAGGUGAAUUCGAGCUUCGAUUUCUUUCAAGAAUCAGAGAACCAAGCCCUAAACUAGUACAGUGUAGUUGUCCGCUAACAGCAUGGAACACCGAAAAUCCUUGAAGCCAGUGCAGUUGUCCGGUAACUCCUUUAUUCUAUCAAGACACAGAUCCACAAUCUCACAAUCCGUCAUUUCUUAGUUAGUCCAAGCUUCAGAGUAAAUGAUGAUACCGGUCGUUCUAGAGCAGAGGAAGACACAAUUUCAUGUUCGUAGAUUGGAGUUUCAAGCACAAUUGAAAAGGGUAAACUCUAUGACAUACAAUAUUUCGUAAUCAAGAGUUUUAACCAUUAAAAUAUCCAAGUAUCGGUAGACAAAGGGAUUUGGGCUACUCAAGCCACGUAUGAGGACAUUUUGGAUGAAGAAUUUCAUAAUUCCAGCAAGGUGAUACUAAUAUUCAGUGUCAAUAUGAGUGGUUACUUUCAAGGGUACGCCCAAAUGACUUCUCCUGUUGGUUUGAGAAGAGGCCAAGUUUGGAGUCAAGGAAAUGGUGGACGUAAUACUUGGGGUCGAAACUUUGAUGUGAAUUGGCUGCGAUUUUCUGAUUUGCCUUUCCAAAGAACUCUUCACCUUAAGAACCCAUGGAAUCAAUACAAACCAGUCAAAAUUAGUAGAGAUUGUUAGGCAUGGAUUAUAUUCUUGUCUUAGUACUCUUCACUUAUUUUUUUUCCAUAUAAUCUUGUUAGUAAAGAGGCUUUUAUGACCCUGGAACAUGUACUACUGUCAGGAGUUACCUCCAGAUAUUGGUAAAGCUUUAUGUGAGCUCCUUGAUGGACAGGAUGCUUUGGAUGUUAAUUUGAAAAUUUAUAGACCUUCCCCCAAAACUUGAAAUAGUAAUCCCGUUCCGUUAUUUAGAAACAUAGAGCCUUUUCUCAUAUUUCUGCUAGAGUAGUGGAAAAAUUGGCGCAAAUGAGUUUUCUCUUUAUAAUUGUUAUUGCCUCAUCCAGGGAUAUAUUUGCAAGGAAUGAUCUCUCUUCUGAAAGGCCAUAUGUAGAGCCUUCACUGGAUCUUGGAUAUGAAGACUGUAAUGCAUCUCUGAUACCUAAUGGUUCAAUGGCUUAUCCCUCUUUACUUUACCAACAUCAAGUUAAUGCUAGUAGACUCCAGCUAGGAACCUCAGGGAAUGAAUGGUGUAUUUUCUACCGAGGAGUCAGCCAUUGCAUCAGGGGAAUCAAAGUCGAGACAGUCGAGGCACUUACAAAGAAAUGAAAUCCUUGCUAAUCUUCAUAUAGACAUGGAUGUGGGUCCUCAAACGAACAUGUGGGUUUGUCAGCAGAAAGGAGCCCUCUUGCCAGUAAUUUGACUGAAGAUGACAUUCUUGAAAUGUUUUGUAUUUCUUCUCAUACCAUUAUUUAUUUGUUUAUUGAUGAAGUUCUCGUCUUACCUUUAUUUUAAUUAUUGAUGCACAUAGGUUUAAAAAGAUUCUUGUAUUUGCCAAGAAGAUGAAACUCUUUUGUACUUCCUUAAAGUUUGCUGAUGAUUUCAGCCAAGUGUGCUUCAUCUCUCUGUAGUUUGUAAUUGGCUAUUUGAUAUCUAGCAUCCUCCUUUUCUUUGAAUGGAUGCAGAGCUGUAUUUUGUGUGCUAUACAACAUUGGUCUUCUAUUGUAUACGACAUAUGUAAGAAAACUGCUGAAUUCAGUAACUUUUAACUUAAAAGGACUCCAUCAAUUUCCUGAUAUUGGACUGCAGGUCAUCUGAUUAUUUCUGUGGUAGAACUUUCAAUUCUCUCUUUGUAUCAUAAGAUUCACUUAUGUGAACUUGCAAUUCCUUUUAACAAAUGCGUAGUUGUGAACCAAGUACCAUUUAUUAUGUAAAUUUAAGCAUCCGUAAGUAUAGGUUGUUUGUGUAUAGCAUACUUCAUAGCAAAGUGGUUUAUUAGAUUUAAUUUAUAUAAUUUUGCAAAUUUUAGCUGGGGGUCUUUCAGAAACAACCUCUCUACCUUCGCAAGGUAGGGUUACGGUCUUCGUACAUUACCCUCCUUAGGCUCCACCUUGUUCCCUAUACUGGUUAUGUCAUUGUUGUUUUAAUUUCCCAAAUUUACAUGGAAUCCUCUUCGCCUUGUUCCUUCAUACUACAGUUGUUAAUGCUACCAACUAUUGAUUUUCUAGUUUGUCUUUUUUAUUGUGUGUAAACCAGGGAACGAUUCUUUUUAUGCCGAAUGACCCUACACUAACGACAAAGCUUAAUGUGGAGUUCAAGUUGAUUAAAGGCCACAAGUUUUCCAAGGAGGGUUCAAGUAAGCAGGCUCUACUUAAUCUUACGCAAGAUUAGGUUUGGAUUUAUGAUUACCAAAACAUUCUACUUGGGAGCCCCUUUAUUAUGAGAGCGUGACUAUUUUCUUUCUGUGUCUGGUCGAGUCUAGAAACAAUAUACUAAUCCAAGUACUGGUGAAGUCUACAAACUGCUAACUUAUCUGAGUACUGCAACUAAAGGUGUUCCGUUUUCUCUCAUUAUUAGGGUGGAAAUUAUCUUUUCGAGUUUGACAGGGAAGAUAGGUUCCUUGACCGUGACCAGUGUCAGGACUUUGUUGUUUAGUCUUUAUGACAUUCAUUAACUCAUCCAUCAGCUUCAUUACUCAGUUACAAGUGCACCAUUCUACUUCAAAUAUGUGAAAACUUAAAAUAUACUGAACUUUAUUACAUUUACGUGUCUUGUUGUUGAUUUCUUCUUGUGGUGUGUGAUCAAACCCGUUUGUUCUUUGUUUCUGUGUACUAGCUGUGUGAUGUUGUACUUGAUUAUUCUGAAUAGUUAGUCAUUAAUAACAAACAAUCAAACAUGUUGGCAUUCGUAUAAGUAAGAUUUCGAGUUUGUUCAUUUACCUAUUUUUAUUGAUGGAUUUUCCUUUUGGGCCAGAAAUAUUGAAUUGGAACUCAGUGAAGUCGCUGGUCUUUUAGUAGAUUUUUGUUUAAAGGAGAAGACAAGACAAUAUAUAAAAUGGUGGGGAAGGGCUGAGACCAGCCUUCUCGUGGUAUUGAGUAUUGAGUAACCCUUUCCUCUAUGAUUCCCUUGCUCCUGCGUGCAAGCGUGGUUGGCUUGGUGCUGAACUUGAGCUAAGAUAUUGCAGCCUAAAUGAUCCAUUCCACAUGUAUAUAAUUGAAAUAAAUUAUUUCAAGUUCAGUUGGAUUUUUCGGAAAUUUUAUGAGUCAAGCCUUGGUUUUCUGCCUAGUGAUUUUUGUCGCCCAACUUGCAUUGCUGUCUAUAGGUUAAGAUAGCAAAAUCAGAGAGUAGCCUCUUAAGAAGGCUUUAAGAUUUUUUUCGGUGUUUUAUAUUGCUAGUUCAACACCGGCUAGCUCGUUAAAGAGUAUGCAGUUACUAUAUGAUAUCUUGCAUUAGACAUUCCAAGUUGAUAGUUUAACAUUAUAGGUUUUAUUACAAAUUUGUUUACCCUUGAAUAACCUUAGCAAUUGCAGCUUGUGGGGAAGUGGGGAAAGCUACUUCUAAAAAACUUGUUGUUUCGCAUGAUGAGCAACACAACAGAAAUAGGGUGUUGGAUUAAGUUACUGCAGGAGAACAGGCGACUGGAACUUUUUUCUGGUUCAAUUUUGCAGAAGGCGGGGGCCUUUUCUGGAUCGCUUUUUGUUGUACUAGUAAUUUUGUAAAUGUGUCUUAUAACUGUAACGAGUUUAUCUGAAAUCUCCAGUUAUUGUUGCUAAUUUUCUUUCCUAAAUUGGCAUUUCAUCUUCUCCUUUUCAUUUCUUGUCUUGUUGAUAUCACUAACAAGUGUAAGUGGUGGCAGUGAGUUGCAGAAACUCCACAGGCAAUUGGUCAUUGGAGGUAUUCUAUCAUAGGCUGAAUUUUGGGCCUCUAGGAAGAAAUUGCUGGAGCAGACUGAAAACAAGAAGCCAAAACAGCGGGUAGCUUUUAAAAAUGACAUGUGGAGUGUAAAACCAAUAUCCGAUAGUCAGGUAAGAGGGAAAUUUUCUCCCCAUUUGUGACCAUACUUGCGUGUUUAGAUGGGUUACUUUUUCUCUGAUAGGAUGCUGUUUUUACUUUUCCAAUAUAUAUCUAAGCCAUUGUGAUUUUCUUGAAUUCUAAUCAGAUCAUAUCAAAAUCUUCAGUUUUUUGAUAAAAUUAUGGAACCUGCGCAUGUUGAUUUUUCUAGGUUCAUUCCUUGUAGCUUUUAGUGCUCUCUGUUUUUCUUAAAUUGCUCUUUACUCAACUUGAUUGUCCUGAGCCAUUAUCCCUCUCACCCUGCUAAGCUAGAGAUGUAUUUUGAAGCCACAGAUUGUCCCGAGUCUGGUUAUUGUUUCUUGACUGGUUGUAGAGCCUUUGUCUGAAGCUGGUACAGCUUGAAUUUCCAAUUGUGUGACUGCCUGCAUUACAAUUUAUAAGUGUAAUUGUAAAUUGUGUGACUGCCUGCAUCAACUCUGAUUUCGCGUGAGACAACUAGUCUAGCUAAAAUUAAGCAAGCAAAAAAUAGAGUAACAUUUACCAGACAAAGCUACAAGGUCAACAAGAUCAAGUCCUUGUCUCUUGAACCUUGAGAGAAUGGCAGCAAAUGUGUUGUUUGGAGCCGGAAUAUUGUUGUUGGAGACACUUAAACUGGCACUUCUGGAGUCCUUUCUUCCCAAUGGAACCUCCCAGUUUGGUCCACCAGUCUAUAUGAACGAAAAAGGUAAGCUCUUGUUUUGUUUUUUCAUAAAGAGGUAGUCUGAUCAAAUUAUAUAUGUUUCAGUACUUACCGAAACAGUGGAGUCCCUUGCAGCAAGUGCCAAGAUAUCAGCACAAGAGACAGUUUGAGGGCAUUCCUUCUCCAGUGCAGAUUUAAUGUCAUCAAUGACAUCAAAUCCACGAGAUGAAUUCCUAUUGGCAUUUGAUCCUUUUUCUGAUACUAUACCUCUGCUAUUAUCCAGAUGCAAAGAUGCAUCACAUCCCUACAUGACAAUAGCUAGCCAUCAGUUCACACACUUUUGUCAGCACAAACACAUUCUGAAGCGUCAUUUGUUUUAGGUUGACCGCAUCUGCUGUUCAGAAUGAGUAAAAGCAGUAGGUAGGAAGAUUACUUCACUGUGCUUAUGAGUAAGUGUUCUUUGUUGUCCAUGAGGAGUGUUUGGACCCCAAACGUUGUUUUGUAUGCAGAUAGUAUUUAUUUAUACUUUCUAAUUUGUGAUGUGUA